CCGGCCUGCGCCUGGCGUGUCCCUGGGGAUCCGGCCUGCGCCGCUCUCCGGGCCCAGAGGCGAGGUGGCGGGAGCACUGCCAGCCAAGGGCUGACCUCAAGGAUCCAAGCGGCGGCGUGCCCGCAGCCUCUCCUCCCCCUUCCCUGCACCCGUCCCCGCGCUCCCCUCCGCCACCGCCCCGAUCGGAAAGGGGCUUCCUGCGCUUUUGCAUACACGUGUGCCCCUUUCGCUCAUUGCCUCGUCACCACCAGGCACGGACAGGCUCCCCAGGAGAAGCGAUUUACUUGACCAAUGUCACAAUGCUGGGGGUAGGGGUACAGAGAAGAACCUGAAAUGAGGGUUGGAGAAAAAUUAACAAGUCUGUCGGUGGAAAUGUCGUUCCUCCUAAGGAUAACCGGGGUAACAUUACCAACCCCCGUGUGAAGAGACAGAGGAACCGAGGCCAGAGAAGUUAACUAACCCAUCCAAAGGCACACAGCAAACAGAAAGCAGCACUGGCAGAUUUCAAAGCAGAGACCGCUGGCGACAUUUGCUCCCGUGUAACACACACCGUAGCCCAGAGGAGUGGUUCUCAGUCCCGGCUCCACACUGAAACCA